rnacentral:rRNA from 1 species
UCAAGCUAUAAAGAGCGCAAGGGGAAUGCCUUGGCAUCAGGAGCCGAAGAAGGACGUGACAAGCUGCGAUAAGCCACGGGGAGGAGCAAAUAUCCGCUAUAUCCGUGGAUUUCCGAAUGGGGGAACCCGCUUGAGCAAUACUCAAGCAUCGUGCAUUGAAUCAAAUAGGUGUACGAGGGGAACGGUCUGAACUGAAACAUCUAAGUAGGACCAGGAAAAGACAUCAACCGAGAUUCCGCAAGUAGUGGCGAGCGAACGCGGAGGAGGCCAAACCGGAGGAUUUAUUCUCCGGGGUUGCGGACAGACAUCACGAUCAGAGGAAGCUAGGAGAACGGCAUGGGAAGGCCGGCUAGAAAGGGUGAGAGCCCCGUAUCCGAAAGCAGGAGCUGACAGUCUGGAUCCAGAGUACCGCGGGACACGUGAAACCCCGUGGGAAACCGGGUGGACCACCAUCCAAGCCUAAAUACUACCUGAUGACCGAUAGAGGAGCAGUACCGUGAGGGAAAGGUGAAAAGGACCCCGGGAGGGGAGUGAAAGAGAACCUGAAACCUUGUGCUUACAAGCACUCAAAGCACGUUAAAGUGUGAUGAGGUACUUUUUGUAGAACGGUCCGGCGAGUUAUUGUAUGUAGCGAGCUUAAGGUGUUCAGCACCGGAGGCGAAGCGAGAGCGAGUCUGAAUAGGGCGACACAGUUGCAUGCAAUAGACCCGAAACCAGGUGACCUAUCCAUGGGCAGGUUGAAGUGGGGGUAAAACCCCAUGGAGGACCGAACGCACGUUCGUUGCAAUGACCGGCGAUGACUUGUGGAUAGCGGUGAAAUUCCAAUCGAACCCGGAGAUAGCUGGUUCUCCCCGAAAUAGCUUUAGGGCUAGCGUCGAGAGAAGAGUUGCGUGAAGGUAGAGCACUGAAUAUGUGAUGGCCCCAUCUCGGGGUACUGAGCAUAAUCAAACUGCGAAUGUCACGCCAACAUGCUCGGCAGUCAGACAGCGGGUGAUAAGGUCCGUUGUCAAGAGGGAAACAGCCCAGACCAUCAGCUAAGGUCCCAAAAUGUAUGCUAAGUGGAAAAGGAUGUGGAGAUGUACAGACAACUAGGAGGUUGGCUCAGAAGCAGCCAUCCUUUAAAGAGUGCGUAACAGCUCACUAGUCGAAUGACUCUGCGCCGAUAAUUUACCGGGGCUAAGCAUACUACCGAAGCUAUGGAUCCCAAGGGAUGGUAGGGGAGCGUUCCAUGAACGGAGAAGUACGACCGAAAGGACGUGUGGAGAUCAUGGAAGAGAGAAUGCCGGUGUGAGUAGCGGAACGUGGGUGAGAAUCCCACGCACCGAAAACCCAAGGUUUCCAGAGGAAGGUUCGUCCGCUCUGGGUAAGUCGGGACCUAAGGCGAGGCCGAAAGGCGUAGUCGAUGGACAACAGGUAGAGAUUCCUGUACCCGUAUAUAUGUGAAGGAAUGACGGAGAGAGGAAGCUGCAGCCAGCGGCUGGAAGAGCUGGUGCAAGCGAGAUAUCGGGAUGGCAGGCAAAUCCACCAUCCGAAACGAGAAGGCGUGAAGCGUACGGAAAGCUACGGCGAGUACGGAAGGCAGUGGAGGAACUUCCAAGAAAAGUUUCUAACGUUAAGUAUAUAUGGCCCGUACCGAAAAUGGACACACAUGGGUGAGGAGAGAAUCCUAAGGUGAGCGAGAGAACUAUAGCUAAGGAACUCUGCAAAAUGACUCCGUAACUUAGGGAGAAGGAGUGCUCAUAGAGAUAUGAGCCGCAGUGAAACGGCCCAAGCGACUGUUUACCAAAAACACAGCUCUCUGCUAAGCCGCAAGGCGAAGUAUAGGGGGUGACGCCUGCCCGGUGCUGGAAGGUUAAGGGGAGGGGUUAACGCAAGUGAAGCCCUGAACUGAAGCCCCAGUAAACGGCGGCCGUAACUAUAACGGUCCUAAGGUAGCGAAAUUCCUUGUCAGGUAAGUUCUGACCCGCACGAAUGG